AGCUCCGGGAGCCUCAAGCGCGACAGCGGCGCCCUCACCUCGGGACAUCCACACACCGACCGCUCCUGCUCCAGAGGCAACCACCCAGCGCGCCUAGCCUGGCGCCGUGCAGCGAAGCCCAAGAGCUGGCCUCGCCACGAAGAGAUGGGGUCUCACUGUGUUGCCUAGGCUGGUCUUGAGCUCCUGGACUCAAACCAUCCACCCAUCUCGGUCUCCCAAAGUGCUGGGAUUAUAGGUGUGAGCCACCACAACCAGCCUAUUUUCUUUUUAAAGACGGAGUUUCACUCUUGUUGCCCACGCUGGAGUGCAAUGGCAUGAUCUCAGCUCACUGCACCCUCUGCCUCCUGGGUUCAAACAAUUCUCCUGCCUCAGCCUCCCUAGUAGCUGGGAUUACAGGAUGAACCAGCCAAAUUUUCAAGACAGCUCACGGCUUAGAGGAAGGUUCAUCUAAAUAAAGGCCGGCUAAAGUGACAUUGCAGGGAUUAAAUCCUUCUUUGGCUGCCUGUGUGACCAGAA
rnacentral:sRNA from 1 species